rnacentral:misc_RNA from 1 species
UUUCCGUAGGUGAACCUGCGGAAGGAUCAUUAUUGUAUUACAGAGGUGCGAGGGCUGUCGCUGACUCGCUUGGACGUGCAUUCCCGAGUGUCCCCACACACACCCAUCUCACCCCUACGUGCACCACCGCGUGGGUCCCCCUCUGGCUUGUUCGGUGUGGGGCUUACGCUUUCACUCGGUCUUUGUAUGCAGAGUAGUAUGUAUUAUUUGUCUUUUCGUUCUCGCAAUCAAUACAACUUUCAACAACGGAACUCUUGGCUCUCGCAUCGACGAAGAAAG